rnacentral:rRNA from 1 species
AGAGUUUGAUCAUGGCUCAGAUUGAACGCUGGCGGCAGGCUUAACACAUGCAAGUCGAGCGGGGGAAGGUAGCUUGCUACUGGACCUAGCGGCGGACGGGUGAGUAAUGCUUAGGAAUCUGCCUAUUAGUGGGGGACAACAUCUCGAAAGGGAUGCUAAUACCGCAUACGUCCUACGGGAGAAAGCAGGGGAUCUUCGGACCUUGCGCUAAUAGAUGAGCCUAAGUCGGAUUAGCUAGUUGGUGGGGUAAAGGCCUACCAAGGCGACGAUCUGUAGCGGGUCUGAGAGGAUGAUCCGCCACACUGGGACUGAGACACGGCCCAGACUCCUACGGGAGGCAGCAGUGGGGAAUAUUGGACAAUGGGGGGAACCCUGAUCCAGCCAUGCCGCGUGUGUGAAGAAGGCCUUAUGGUUGUAAAGCACUUUAAGCGAGGAGGAGGCUACUUUAGUUAAUACCUAGAGAUAGUGGACGUUACUCGCAGAAUAAGCACCGGCUAACUCUGUGCCAGCAGCCGCGGUAAUACAGAGGGUGCGAGCGUUAAUCGGAUUUACUGGGCGUAAAGCGUGCGUAGGCGGCUUAUUAAGUCGGAUGUGAAAUCCCCGAGCUUAACUUGGGAAUUGCAUUCGAUACUGGUGAGCUAGAGUAUGGGAGAGGAUGGUAGAAUUCCAGGUGUAGCGGUGAAAUGCGUAGAGAUCUGGAGGAAUACCGAUGGCGAAGGCAGCCAUCUGGCCUAAUACUGACGCUGAGGUACGAAAGCAUGGGGAGCAAACAGGAUUAGAUACCCUGGUAGUCCAUGCCGUAAACGAUGUCUACUAGCCGUUGGGGCCUUUGAGGCUUUAGUGGCGCAGCUAACGCGAUAAGUAGACCGCCUGGGGAGUACGGUCGCAAGACUAAAACUCAAAUGAAUUGACGGGGGCCCGCACAAGCGGUGGAGCAUGUGGUUUAAUUCGAUGCAACGCGAAGAACCUUACCUGGCCUUGACAUACUAGAAACUUUCCAGAGAUGGAUUGGUGCCUUCGGGAAUCUAGAUACAG